UACGUAGGGAGCGAGCGUUGUCCGGAAUUACUGGGCGUAAAGGGUGCGUAGGCGGCAUGGCAAGUCAGAUGUGAAAUCCCCGGGCUUAACUCGGGAGUUGCAUUUGAAACUGCUGUGCUUGAGUGCAGGAGAGGAAAGCGGAAUUCCUAGUGUAGCGGUGAAAUGCGUAGAUAUUAGGAGGAACACCAGUGGCGAAGGCGGCUUUCUGGACUGUAACUGACGCUGAGGCACGAAAGCGUGGGGAGCAAACAGGAUUAGAUA
rnacentral:rRNA from 1 species